UGCGCAUGCGUUCGCAGAUCGGGCAGCCACAGCGUGCCCUGGAAUGUAUCGGCCUACGAGAGCGACGUCAUGUGAUCACACCAGCAUCAUGUAACUGAUUGUGUACAGUCGUAAAAAUAUGUUUUAUUAGUCUCAACGUAUAGCUGGUAAGAUACAAUAAUAGUAAUAGUAGAUAGUAUCUAUUACUAAAACGACUGGUGAUUCGGAAUCUGGUGUUUUAUUUAAAUAAUUUACAAAUAAGGCAUAUUUAUUCUUUCGUUUUCAUUUUCUGAAACAGGAAUGUCAAUGUGCAAGUCGUGCAAUGCUGGAUUCGGGCGCUGUGCUGCUUCGGCUGGUUUAUUAUAUGAUGGCUGCUUUGCAUUCGCUGCACUUUUGAGCCGCUUUGAUAUCGAAUAAUUGAAAAAGGAGCGAAUCGGUGUCCGCUAAAAUUUUUUGUAUUUCCUGUCGACCUCAGUCCGCACUUACGCCAUUGCCUGUAGGCAGCCAGCUAAUCGGGUUGCUGGUGUCAACAGGGCAGCUCGGUACCUUCGUCUCGUUAAGAGUAACUGGACAACUGCGGAAUGGCGAACGAACACGGGUAGCUAGCUGGUUUUCCCCCUGUAAUCGGAGAGUGGAUGAUUCCACUAACUCGUAAGCCAUUUUAAAGGGAGUGCAACGUUUUGUUACAGUAUUCAAAACCCAACAUAUAUGACAGCCAUCUGUCAGGGGAAGCAAAGUGUUUGACUCAUACUUUCAGGUGUGCUAGAGGUGUGAAGUCAUGGCAGGUGCAAAUUUUCUGGGAAAGAUGAAGACCUUCUUUAAGAAGGAGCCCACUGAAUGGGAUCUUAGCGACACGGCUAGUUUUGAUUUCUCCCAUGACCGGACUGAGGAUGAUGACGAGGACACCCCCACAUUUAAAAAACUGAAAGUUGUCAUUUCUGGGGAGCCGGAUUGCCCAGCGGGGCCCCACACCAAUGGGUCACUGGUAAACACGGUGGUGGAUGAUGACGAGUCGCUCUUGGAUUCAUCGUCCCUCGGCAGCGGUCCAGGGGUCAUCUUGGACCCCUGCGCGAACUGCACAAAGAGGAAAGAGAAGGGGAAGCGGAGCAGGGUGAUGAAGAAGCUGGGCUGUGCCGCCUUGCUCUAUUUCCUUUUUAUGAUAGGCGAGCUCAUAGGUGGCUAUGUCGCCAAUAGCCUAGCGAUCAUGACCGAUGCGUUGCACAUGCUGACGGAUCUUGUUGGUAUUGUUGUGUCCCUGCUUGCACUCUGGUUGUCUUCAAAACCCCCAACCAAAAGGUUCACCUUCGGAUUGCACCGUCUUGAGGUGGUCUCUGCUGCCAUCAGCGUGCUGCUGAUAUAUAUCCUGACCGCUGUGCUCCUGAAUGAGGCUGUCCAGAGGACCAUCCAUCAGGACUUUGACAUCGAUGGGGAUGUCAUGCUCAUUACCGCAGCAGUCGGUGUGGCCGUCAACCUAAUAAUGGGCUUCCUGUUGAACCAGUCAGGCCAUGUUCACUCCCAUGCUCACCAUCAGGCCUCGGGGCAGACAGCGCACAGCCACGGGAGCCUGGCGGUCAGGGCGGCUUUCGUGCACGCCCUCGGGGACCUGGUGCAGAGUGUCGGCGUGCUCGUGGCAGCAUACGUUGUGCGCUUCAAGCCUGAAUACAAGAUUGCAGACCCGAUUUGCACAUAUAUCUUCUCAGUGCUUGUCCUGUUUACCACAGUAAAAAUAGUAAGAGACACUGGGAUCAUUGUACUUGAAGGGGUUCCCCGGCAUUUGGAUGUGACGCGAAUCAGAGAAGACCUGCUGAAACUGGAGGAGGUGCAUUCUGUGGAGGAUCUGAACGUGUGGGCUUUGGCGCCGGACAAGACGGCCGCGCUGGUCCACUUGUCCCUGGUACCCUCCAGCAGUAGCGACUGGGAGGAAGUUCAAGCGAAGGCGCGGCACCUGCUCGCCAGCACGUACGGGAUCUCCAAGUCCACCAUCCAGCUGCAGCGCUACAGGGAGACGUCACCCGUCACAUGCGUCAGCUGUCAGCUGACCUGAGCGCAUGGGAACUCUACCGGACCUGUCCACCCGCCCCCCCUGUUCCUUUGUUCUGCAGGUUAAACUCAACGUGAUUUAUAAAGCGCACAAGAUGCAGUAGUUGUACUAAUGGGAUUGCCAAAGGACUUUGUUUUAAUGUUAAUUAAUGCACAUUCUAACAGGAUUUCCCUGGUCUUUAAAAUCGAAUGUGUGCAUUUUUGAACACACUGACAUACGACAGCUUGAAUGCCUGUAAAGUCUGCACAAACAUACAGCUUAGAGUUUCUCUGUUUUUUUGGACACAGUCAAAAGCAGUAUUUGUUGAACAUGCCAGAAAAUAUUAAAUGAGGAUGGUGAUUUCUUGUCAGACUCUUUUAAAGACUGAUUUCCAGCUAUGUUUCCAUGCUCUGAGACGUUUCACUAUCCCUGGUAUGGAUGGGUUUCUCGGUGACGAUGCCCAGGUCCGGGUGGGUUUUUCUCGGUGACGAUGCCCAGGUCCGGGUGGGUUUUUCUCGGUGACGAUGCCCAGGUCCAUCCCCAUGUCGGAUCCCUUUUGAGUUCGGCCAGCUUGUUGUCAGGAGGAAUGACACGUGUGUCUGCUUAUGUUUAAUAUUUUUGAAUAACAUGAACAGUAUAUUUGCAAUAAAAUUUAUGGUGUAGGAUAGAAAUAGCUGUGGAUGAGCUUCCGCCUUCCAGCACGGUGCUCAAAACGCAGAUUUACCACAGCUCUCCACUGAAGGAGAUAGCAUACAGUUUUACUCACUCAACAUUCAAAAUAUAAAUUUUAAAAAACUGCUGUAUGAAAACUUCCUGGACGAUACAUCCGUAAGCACUUAUGCACUCUAGAAACAAACAGCAAUGUCGAUGCACCAAGCAGUGAUGUAUAACAUUUUGAGAUACUCCGCAGUGUUGUAUGUAACAGGUUGGUAAAUCUGAGUAUGCAGUUAAAUAAAUGAAAACAUAUGUAGAAAACUUGUCAUCCUAACCAUUGUGAAGACUGGAUCAUUUUCUUUUUGCAAACUUAAACGUUUUACUUAAUUAUCUACCAUAAGAAUCGAAAUGAGGCCUGUUUGAGAUGUUUCAUAAUGCAGUUUGAAUGUUAGUACUUUAAAAUUUAUGCCUAUUCUAAGAAAUAUACAUGUUGACAUUUGCGUCAUUCUGCCUUUUUUUGCAUAGAUACAACUUACCGCUGAGCAUAGAAAUGACGACUGUGAUAAGUAAUUUGAAAUAAAUGGUAUUUUUUUUCCCAAA